rnacentral:rRNA from 1 species
GACGAACGCUGGCGGCGUGCUUAACACAUGCAAGUCGACCGGUAAGGCCCUUCGGGGUACACGAGUGGCGAACGGGUGAGUAACACGUGGGUGAUCUGCCCUGUACUCCGGGUUAAGCCUGGGAAACUGGGUCCCAUACCGGACAGGACCACCUCCUGCACGGGCGGGUGGGGAAAGCUUUUGCGGUGUGGGAUGGGCCCGCGGCCUAUCAGCUUGUUGGUGGGGUGAUGGCCUACCAAGGCGACGACGGGUAGCCGGCCUGAGAGGGUUGCCGGCCACACUGGGACUGAGAUACGGCCCAGCCUCCUACGGGAGGCAGCAGUGCGGAAUAUUGCACAAUGGUCGCAAGCCUGAUGCAGCGACGCCGCGUGAGGGAUGACGGCCUUCGGGUUGUAACCCUCUUUCAGCGCCGACGAAGCGCAAGUGACGGUAGGUGCAGAAGAAGGACCGGCCAACUACGUGCCAGCAGCCGCAGUAA